AGUAAGGUCAGCUAAUUAAGCUCUUGGGCCCAUACCCCAAAUAUGUUGGUUAAAAUCCUUCUUUUACUA
rnacentral:tRNA from 1 species